GACGAACGCUGGCGGCGUGCUUAACACAUGCAAGUCGUACGGUAAGGCCCUUUCGGGGGUACACGAGUGGCGCACGGGUGGGUAACACGUGAGUAACCUGCCCACAACUUUGGGAUAACGCUAGGAAACUGGUGCUAAUACUGGAUAUGUGCUCCUGCUGCAUGGUGGGGGUUGGAAAGCUCCGGCGGUUGUGGAUGGACUCGCGGCCUAUCAGCUUGUUGGUGGGGUAGUGGCCUACCAAGGCGGCGACGGGUAGCCGGCCUGAGAGGGUGACCGGCCACAGUGGGACUGAGAUACGGCCCAGACGCCUACGGGAGGCAGCAGGGGGGAAUAGUGCACAAUGGGCGCCAGCCCGAUGCAGCAACGCCGCGGGCGGGAGGACGGCCUUCGGGUUGUAAACCGCUUUCAGCAGGGACGAAGCUUUUUGUGACGGUACCUGCAGAAGAAGCACCGGCUAACUACGUG
rnacentral:rRNA from 1 species